UACGGAGGGGGCUAGCGUUGUUCGGAAUUACUGGGCGUAAAGCGCGCGUAGGCGGCCUUGCAAGUUGGUGGUGAAAUCCCGGAGCUUAACUUCGGAAUUGCCUUCAGGACUGCAGGGCUUGAGUUCGGGAGAGGUGAGUGGAAUUCCCAGUGUAGAGGUGAAAUUCGUAGAGAUUGGGAAGAACACCAGUGGCGAAGGCGGCUCACUGGCCCGUAACUGACGCUGAGGCGCGAAAGCGUGGGGAGCAAACAGG
rnacentral:rRNA from 1 species